GUCUUCGGUUUAAAUUCAUCUCAUCCGUUCCUGGACUCUGUGAACAGGGAACUCGAGCAUGGAGAAGGAGUGGAGAUUACUUGGUUUCCUUGUUCUGUCAUUAUGUUUUCUUGUCAGCAAUGGCCAAAACAUUGUCUGUACACAGAACACAGA